rnacentral:rRNA from 2 species
UGAUCCUGCCAGUAGUCAUAUGCUUGUCUCAAAGAUUAAGCCAUGCAUGUCUCAGUACAAGCCAUAUUAAGGUGAAACCGCGAAAGGCUCAUUAAAUCAGUUAUGGUUCCUUAGAUCGUACCCACAUUUACUUGGAUAACUGUGGUAAUUCUAGAGCUAAUACAUGCAAACAGAGCUCCGACCGGAGACGGAAGGAGUGCUUUUAUUAGAUCAAAACCAAUCGGCGGCAAUUGGGUUUACUUAAUUGUUCGUCGCACUAUUUGGUGACUCUGAAUAACUUUUGGCUGAUCGCACGGUCUCGCACCGGCGACGCAUCUUUCAAAUGUCUGCCUUAUCAACUGUCGAUGGUAGGUUCUGCGCCUACCAUGGUUGUAACGGGUAACGGGGAAUUAGGGUUCGAUUCCGGAGAGGGAGCCUGAGAAACGGCUACCACAUCCAAGGAAGGCAGCAGGCGCGCAAAUUACCCACUCCCGGCACGGGGAGGUAGUGACGAAAAAUAACGAUACGGGACUCAUCCGAGGCCCCGUAAUCGGAAUGAGUACACUUUAAAUC